AUACGAAGGGGGCAAGCGUUAUUCGGAAUCACUGGGCGUAAAGGACGCGUAGGCGGGUUUGUAAGUCAGGUGUGAAAUCCUACAGCUCAACUGUAGAACUGCACUUGAAACUACAGACCUAGAGUAUGGAAGGGGCAGAUGGAAUUAGUGGUGUAGGGGUAAAAUCCGUAGAUAUCACUAGGAAUACCGAAAGCGAAGGCGAUCUGCUGGGACAUUACUGACGCUGAGGCGUGAAAGCGUGGGGAGCAGACAGGAUUAGAAACCCUAGUAGUCC
rnacentral:rRNA from 1 species